AGGAAGAAAUCCUGGAGAUGUCAUUGCCUCCUUUCAAGAUGUUGAGAUUCCAUGAGCUACACUUUGGUCCUAUCAAGACAGGCAGGCAGCUGCAUGAGAGGUGGAAAGAGAGAAAAUGAUUAAGACAAAAUCACCACCAACAGCUACCACGGGCAGGGAAGGCAGCGUUGGAUCCCAGCCACAAUACUUUUGCAGCCUGGCUUGAAUGGGCCUGAUGGGAUGCCGUAAUGUAACCUACACUGAGCAAGGGUGGAUCACAGUUGUAUAAAACUGCAACGCUGCCAAAAAUGGGAAACCUCAUGUCAGUUCCGAAAAACUUGCAUGGCUGCUACACAGACGUCUCAGCUACCUCCCAGAUAAAAAUCUCACUGAACUUCAGACAGAACUCGAAGUAACAUUGACACUUACGCUUGGAAAUAAGAGGGUGGCACAGACAGCAGGGAAGAGACAAGUGCUCGUGAAAGACUUCAAAAUGGAGGUAAUUCACUCUUGCUGACGGGAAGGCCUUGAGGAACUCAAACUAAAAAUUAUUGCACUGUUGCAAGAAUGAGAGAAAAAUCACUUAUUAUUACGAAAACA